UCAUAAAAAUGGCCUGUCCUCAGUUGGAGGUCAGAAGGGUCAAGUGUAUGGGAAGUGCGUGACCGUCCGUAAAUUUCCAUUUUUUGCCUCUUUUUUGGUCACACUCCAGUGGUCUCGAUUGGCGGUGUUACGCGCAUCAUCAACUGAACAUUGCCAUGAUGUGAAUACUGUUGAUACUGAUGAUGUGGAUGCUGAUGAUGUGGAUGAUGAUAAUGUGGAUGCCUCCGGACUGAAAUAGCUGGACAGUGCCAUGAUGUGGAUACUGUUCAUACUGAUGAUGUGGAUACUGUUCAUACUGAUGAUAUUAUGCUGAUAAUGUGGAUAUUGAUGAUGUAGAUGCCCCGGAUGAUCAACCAGGGACUAAUAAAGCUGGACAGUGCCAUGAUGUGAAUACUGUUGAUACUGAUGAUGGGGAUGCUGAUGAUGUGGAUGUUGAUAAUGUUGAUGCCUCCGUUGAUCAACCAGGGACUGAAAUAGCUGGACAGUGCCAUGAUGUGAAUACUGAUGAUACUGAUGAUGUGGAUGCUGAUGAUGUGGAUGCCUCCGUUGAUCAACCAGGGACUGAAAUAG